AUGGCCGCCAUGGCCAGAGCUAAGCCGAUCGGAAGCCUACUGCUCCUCUUUUCUAAACGAAGUUCUGCUUCACUGACUAAGACUUCAAAUAGACUUGGCAUCUUGCUACAAGGUGAAAUGCUAAGAUCAAAGCUACUGGAACUACCCCUUCGUCUGUUCAACAGAAAGAUAAAGAAAUCUAGAAAAUUUCUGCUUUCUUGAUGUGGCCUGUGCUUCAGAGACCCACCUUGACUUUAACUCAGUUGCAAAGAAUGUUGCUCCAGGUCCCUGCUUCUCCUGAUGUCACUUCAUCUAGGGGAAACCAGUGGCUCAAGAGUAAAUGGAUGAAGAAAGGCAAUCAGGAAGACUUGAGCUGUUUGUUCUGAUAAAUGCCUGGUACCUAGGUGCUUUAUAUCUGUCGACUAUAAGCAGUCUUGGGAAAUGUCUUGAAGGAAGAUCUUUGAAAUAUGUUUAGCUUUACUCAAAAGGCCAAUCCUCAGAAAAUAUAAUAGUUCCUGAAGUCUUAAGCAUUUCAUGACUCGUAAGGAACAGACAUUCCAGCAUCCCUCUCACAGUGCCUGGGAUGUUAAAAUACCAUUUAGAUCCUUGAAGUAAGUUGAUAUUUUCACCUCAUAAAAAUACCUCUGCAUGUUCACCUGAGAAGAAGAAAAAUGUGACAUUUUCUGGUGGCUUUCAUGAAGAAUCCCAGUACCCUUUUUCAAAAGAAAUGGAAAAGUCUUCAAUUCCAGAUGCUGGGAGAUGGAGGAAGGUAGGAAAUUAGUGUCUGUACUUCUAAGAACAGUGCAUUGUUUUCCACAAAAUGUGAAGUGCUUCGUGUGUACAUGCAUAAAUAUUGACCAGACGAGUCUUUAUUUAUCUUUGAUUUCUGUUCUGCUUGCAGGUUAUUCAAAGGCAAGAAUUUCAGCGGGAGUUGGAUUCAUUCUUAGAUAUCAGUGAACCAUCUUGAACUUCCUACGUGUCAGUUCUCUGGCUCUCUAAACCCAGUGAACAGAUGCUAGCUCUAAUGUAUAUCAGGACAUCCUUAUUUUGUCACUGCUGGGGUACCACAGCCUUGCCAUCUAAUUUGCUGGUCUUUCUACUCUAUUGAAAUUAAUAUUUGAAAUGUGAAAACCCCAAUAUUAGCACCGAAUAUUUUAAACAUUUUAUAGCCCUUCAGCUGUUCUGUAGUGCCAGUUUGUUUUCCAUUCCCCUUGACAUCUCACAAUGCUAAGUGCCCAGUGACAGCCUGUAGAGGUUUCGCCAUAAUCCACCUUUAUCCAUUAACAGACACUCAAUCACUAAAGUGCUUACUAGACUAAACAUAUUUAUCCAACCAAAUCACACUUUACAAUGCAAAUCUGCCAAUCAGACCCCGGCUAUUAACAAGGAACUGCUUUAAGGGGAUUUUGGUGUUUGUGCUGUGAAGAGCCUGCUUACCUCCAACAAACCACUAAACCAAAUUAACAUAGCUGUAUCCUCAUAAAAGAAACCAGAUAUCCUGUUGUGAAAAUAGAGAGCUUGGUGGGACAGGCCUCCUUUGAUGGCUAACAGUGUGGCAGACAAGGCUUCAGACUUCAAAUCUGGCUACCACCAAGUCAUUACAAACCGCCAGCAUCAAGCUUUUGAUAACUUUAAAAGCAAAAUAAAAAUGUAGCGUUGGGGUAACUCA
rnacentral:lncRNA from 1 species